GAGAGCACAGUACGAUGAAAGUUGUAAGUUGUGUUCGGGGGGGAGUUAUUGUCUAUCGUUGGCCUCUAUGGUAGAAUCAGUCGGGGGACCUGAGAGGCGGUGGUUUACGGGUAAUAUUUCCAAAGGAGUUGCAAACGGAUCUGCCGGUUCACCAAUCAU
rnacentral:ncRNA from 1 species